rnacentral:rRNA from 1 species
CGGUAAGGCCCUUCGGGGUACACGAGCGGCGAACGGGUGAGUAACACGUGAGCAACCUGCCCCUGACUCCGGGAUAAGCCGGGGAAACCCGGUCUAAUACCGGAUAGGACGUCUCGUCGCAUGGCGGGGCGUGGAAAGGUGUCUUUCCGGUCAGGGAGGGGCUCGCGGCCUAUCAGCUUGUUGGUGGGGUGAAGGCCUACCAAGGCGAUUACGGGUAGCCGGCCUGAGAGGGCGACCGGCCACACUGGGACUGAGACACGGCCCAGACUCCUACGGGAGGCAGCAGUGGGGAAUAUUGCGCAAUGGGCGGAAGCCUGACGCAGCGACGCCGCGUGGGGGAUGACGGCCUUCGGGUUGUAAACCUCUUUUACCACCGACGCAGGCCCGUGCUUCUGUGCGGGUUGACGGUAGGUGGGGAAUAAGGACCGGCCAACUACGUGCCAGCAGCCGCGGUAAUACGUAGGGUCCGAGCGUUGUCCGGAAUUAUUGGGCGUAAAGAGCUCGUAGGUGGCGUGUCGCGUCUGCUGUGUAAGUCCGGGGCUUAACUCCGGUUUGGCAGUGGAUACGGGCAUGCUAGAGGUAGGCAGGGGAGACUGGAAUUCCUGGUGUAGCGGUGAAAUGCGCAGAUAUCAGGAGGAACACCGGUGGCGAAGGCGGGUCUCUGGGCCUUACCUGACGCUGAGGAGCGAAAGCGUGGGGAGCGAACAGGAUUAGAUACCCUGGUAGUCCACGCUGUAAACGUUGGGCGCUAGGUGUGGGGACUUUCCACGGUUUCCGUGCCGUAGCUAACGCAUUAAGCGCCCCGCCUGGGAGUACGGCC